AGGCAAGCCCGCGAAAACUGUCGGACCAGUUUUGUAAACCGAAGGUCGGGGGUUCAAUCCCCUCAGCCGGCACCA
rnacentral:tRNA from 1 species